AACGCACAUUGCGCCCGCCAGCAUUCUGGCGGGCAUGCCUGUUCGAGCGUCAUUUCAACCCCUCAGGCCCUGGUGCCUGGCGUCGGGGCUCUCCCUCCCUCGCGGGGGGGAGGCCCCCAGAGACAGUGGCGGACCCGCCGCGGCUCCGAGCGCAGUAGUAAAGUUCUCGCUCUGGAGGCCCGUGGAGGUGCUCUCCGGCCGUAAAACCAGGUCUGCAAAGACCGACCCCACCAAGGUUGACCUCGGAUCAGGUAGGAAUACCCGCUGAACUUAA
rnacentral:misc_RNA from 1 species